rnacentral:tmRNA from 1 species
GGGGGCGAUCAGGUCUCGACGUGGUCGAUUCUCCGGCAGAGCUGCAAGCCGAGGUCCCCGGUCGGCCUCGUAAAACAACCGGGAACCACGUAAGUGCGAACGACGAACUCGCACUCGCUGCCUAACUGAGUUAGUCAGCGCGUCGCUCCGGCUUCGGCCCGUGGGCCGGGUAGCGGCGUCAGAAACGGGCUCGCCGCCGAGGGAGAGCCAAUCGCCCGAGGCGGGACUCGAAAGGAUGGCUAGUCCCUCGGGAGGCCGCC